AGGAGACAGGGGAGGGGAAGGGGAGAGAGGGCGUCGACCUGAGAUCUAGAAGCGAGGGCGCCGGUGCGCCGCCCCCCGCCGGCCUCGCGUGCGUGCGUCCAUGGCGUCACCGUCUUGCGCGCCGCCGCCCGCUUGCGUGCCGCCGCCCGCUUGCGUGCUGCUGCCACCAACCGCCGAUGGAUCCACAGCUACCCGCGCUCCGUUCUCGCCUCUUCUCCUCUCUCUCCACAAGAACAACGAGAAGUCAGUGCAAGUGGUUGCGGCGAUGGUGUGCCCCAAGUGUUGGGAAAAGCUAGGGAAUGACGACUGGAACAAGGGCGCCAGGUAUACAUAAACGAAAGCGGCGGCGACAAGAACAACAAGAUCGGACUCCUCCCCCAAGAAAACCAGAUCAGCUCCCACCAACAAGCAUGAGGAUUUCAUUAUCUCACUAGAAUCAGUUGUGGAUCAGGACCGGUUGCACUAAGUUCCUGUCCUUGUAUACCUUAAGAUAAGAACAAUAGCAGUAAGGGGACAUUAUACAGUGCUAGGCCUAGGAGAAGUUAACAGUGUAUAGGGUAUGGGUUUAAUACUGAAAGUUGGAAGAAACGAGUCCUAGGCCCAGGUAAUUUGUAAAACGUGUUUGGCACCUCUCUUUUUUCACAUAGACCACAUGUCGACUUUAUUGUUGGGGAUUGAGCAUCCAGUGCGCAAGUCUUGAGUACAAUCGCAAGCAUUAUUGCCUGCACCUGUACUGGUUGGUUGAGCACCCAACUGUUCUAGCCUACCUUCAAUUAGCCAUGAUAGUGAUAAGCAAGUACUGGAAUAGAGAGUCUUUUUUUCUUAAACCCUGAUGAACCUGGAAACUCACCACAAGUCACUACUGCACUGGAUACUGGAUGCUUGGCAAUUCUCUGUUUUCAGAUAGCUCUUGCAAAUAACAGGUUGGUUGCCUGCUGUGUAAUUUGCUUAUUAAUUUAUAUGUGUCAAAUUAGAGGCUAUCUGUUUGUUGCUUGCUGCAUUCGACCACUUGUUCAAUGGUUAUCACAUUGUUGAUUUGUUUCCUGUGAGGUGAAGGUAAUAUGCAAUAUGAUAUCUGAAUUUAGAAGUUCAUGUUUUGUGAUGAUGCAUUAUGAUAUCUCUGUCAACAUUCAGUCCAUAUAUCCAGUUUCAAUACUACAAUCAGCAAAUUAUGAUGUCUUCCAUCUGUGCUAAUAUGUUUGCUCCUUUCCUAAUACAUUUCAAUUAUUUCAGACUGUAAUAUCGCCCAUGAUGAAAUAGCUGGAUACUUAAUUGGAGAUGAUGAGUAUGACGACGAUGAUUUACGAGUCGUAGACCCAUGAGCAUUGAUCUGCAAUACUUUUAUUCUGAUCUUACUACAAGGUAUAUUGGUUCCAACUCGGGAGAUGUUUUGCACGAGGGCUUGUGGAAAGAGAUGAUUAUGCGCUAGAACUUGCAAUGGGAGACGAGUGAGCAGUGCCUAAGAGGAUUGUGGUUUUAAGCUCUGUUUCCGCAGUUGGUAGCUUAUAGAGUCACAAGGACCUGCUUCGCAAGAGGGGUCGAGAAUUUUUCUUUUUUGCUCUGUUCACAGUUCGCCCCGCUUGCAUCCCUAUUCAUGAGAGGCCCCGAGCACAUGACGCAGGGAACUACUAAGUUUGGACAAAGAAAAUCGGUCAACAAGACGUGCCGACGAUGUCAAGCAGAUUCACACACUUCCUAGUUAGGGCAGAUACAUUUCUAUAUGUCAGCAGUUUCAUAUGUUGUCUCAUGUAAUGUUAUACAUAGGAACUUUUUUACUAGGCCGCAUAGAAUUUUUGGUGAUGUGGAGGAGAGAGAGCGAGGUGAGAGAAAGAGAUGGUUGCCUCACGAAACAACCGUCUCAUAGGCUAAAUUUUAGGAGUAUGAGACUACUUCUCAUCAUU